UCUUAAUGGCGCGAUCUCGGCUCACGGCAGUCAUUUGGUUUUAAGAAUAAUAAAUUGUCAUUUAUUAACCAUGUCAGAGUUUAUCUGCUGAACUCUGGGGUAAAUGGAGGGAGGGAACAGAUUUGGGAGCACCAGCACCCCUAGACCUCCCCUGGCCACCCCAAGGAGCAGGUGAUUAAUAUCUCAGCACACCUCUACUUAUUAGUGGCACAUCAGUGUGUCUUAGACCUUAGUGAGCUGUGAGGUGCAUGACUUUGGGUAAGUUACUUCUCUGUUUCAGUUUCCUUAUCUGCAAAAUGGAGACCUUAGGGAGUUAAUGUGUGUGUGUCAACUGUACAUAAAACAUAAUGCACAAGGUGAGGCAUGUAGUGUAUGCUAAUAAAUGGUAAGUUGCUGCUGUUAUGGUUGUUAACAAUAAUUAUAAAAAGCAAAUGGAAAGGGCUUGAAUUGAGAAAAAUUUUAGACACAUAGUUUUUUGCGUUAUUAGCUCGCAUUGUAGUUUUCAUUUUUUUUUCUUUAAUGCUUCUUUCCAGGACAAAAAAUAUCCAAAGAUAUUUUGGCACUAACAGUGCGAUCUGUAGCAAGAAAAUUGGGCAGUCUAUUUGAACUGUUCAUUCUUCCGAGGAGACCUCAGAGAGCCAAGACAGUAUAAAGGAAAAUUUGAAAAAAAGACUUAUUAGACAUUAUUAAGGGCACAAAAGUUGAAUUAAGCACAGUUAAUGUACAAACAACAAAGCCACCCAACAGCAGACCACUUAAAAACUACAACUGGUAGCCUUCAAAGAGCUACAGAACAUGCUCCAAAGAAGAGAGAAAUUUAAUUGUAAUUUGAAUGUUGUUUGAAACUAAUUUUUGAAACUCCAGUAAGUUUUUUCUUUUGGCAAAAACUAUUUUUAAAUGUGAGUACUUGGGAGAUGUUGAAUUAAUGAAGUCCAAGUUGAAUUAGUGAAGAAUAAAUAUCAGCUUGUAAACACAGGGACCCUAAUUACUUGCUGUAAUGUAUUUUAGAAAACAAACAAAAAAAAAUCUCUUAUAUCAGGGGCAUUUUAAUAUAGAAGUGUGAAAAAUGGAAAGUCCGUCUAAAAGGGGAAGCCUUGAAUGUAGUGUAAUGAAAUGCUGUUAUUGUAUUAUAUUUAAAUAACAAGACGAUAUUUGUAUACAAUCCAGUGAAAGGAAAAGAGAAGUGAUGUCAUCAAGAAUUCCACACUCUUACCUAUUUAUUAGUGUUAUUAACUGCCACUUACUUAAUUGCCUCUUUAAGCUGUUAAUUAACAAUACCAUUUACAUCCUGAUUUGAAGGUAGCUUCAUGUCUGUAAAGGACUCGCUUAUUUGAAAUUUUCCAUUUUAAAGAUUUUUUUUGAAAUAAAGUUUUAGCAUGUUGAUUACAACUGCUUUAUAGGACUUCCUUUGACCAAUAACUGUCAGUGCUUUCAGCUUUCUUGGUUACCUCAGAGCAUUAUCGUUACUUGUGCUUGUCAAAAGAGUAUUAUAUUUAAUUCUAAGGGCAACCAGCAAUAUCUUGGCAUUGUAUUGUAGGUUAAAUCGCAGUAUUUUUUUUAGUGAUACAUAAUGAUGUAUUUUAUAAUGUCAUUAAUUCAAGUAGUAAGAAGCAAGCCCCUGAGUCCCGAGUUGGUGGCAGCUGCGUCUGCUGCUCCCUUUUGGCAAGCAAACAAGCCAGAGCUACUCAGGCAGCUCAGUAGCAUGAGGAAGAGUGAGGGGCACAGAGAGAUGGAUGGAGACCUAAAAUUAGUAACAUAGUAUCAGAUAUGAAAGUUGCCAGACGUGCUACACCUAGAGUUAGUAUAAGAACAGAGCAUCAGAUUCAGUUUGACCAAGGCUAUGACAAUUAUCCUGGCCAGCAGAAGACUGCUUAUCUUAGAAAAAGACGUGACCUUCUCUUUGGGAUGUGGAAUUUGCCAAGCAGUUAGCCACAGAAAAUGAACAACUCCUUCAGAACGGGUUUGAAGAGCUGAUCCAGUGGACAAAAGAAGGGAAACUGGGAGUUCCCAAUUAACAAUGAAGCAGGUAAGUGGUAAUUUCAAGGGUUUAUAAAAUACAUUGAUUGAGAUUUUUUCUGCCAGAUAUUCACUUUUAGAGUGCAGAUACUUACCUGAAUUUCAAAACACUGUACAGAUAUCUUCAUAGUGUCCUAAAGAAAGUAAGUUGCAGCAGAAUGCAUGCAAUUUAAUAGUAUUUUAUAAAAUUCAAAAACCAAAUUUUGAAUAUACUUUCUUAGCUAUAAAGAUGAUAAAACUAUAAAACAAAAUCAACAUAAUACAGUAUUUCAGGAAGGCAGGGUAAUUGAGAAAAGACACCCGGGGCUUCAACAGUACUAUCAUUCUCUUCCUCAAGUUGGACAGCAGGUUCACAGGUGGUCAUUUCAUCAUGCUUUUAUGUCAUUAUAUGUUGUUAUACUAUAUGUUAUACAUAUUAUAAUUAUACAUUAUACUAUACAUAUCCUUUUGUUUGUAACAGUGUUUCAUAAUAUUUUAAGGAAUGAAUGGAAAUGGGCAUAUAACGAAGAUAUGCAGUGCCUAGCCAUCAGUGAAGUCCCAGAAUUAUCAGAUUCCAAGAUAAUUCCUUUACAAAAAUAAGCAAACAAGGGCAUGUUAUCUAGAAUGGAAAGACCAUCCAUAUUCUACUAACUGAGACAAUUAAAUAGGGAAUCCCUCUUUCAGGUUGGCAUUUGUUGUAUGCUUGGAAGUGUUUUGAAGCAGAAAUUGGUUGUAAAUAAAUCUACUUCUCCUUAAUACUAGGAAAGUAUAAGCUUGCUUUUAAUGUCACUAUUAUCCCUGCCAAGAAAUUAAAAGUCCUGGAGGUAGUUUUGCUUAUGAACUCAAUUCCUUGCUUAUUAAUGAACCUAAAUUUAAUCCUUGAUUAUAUCUUUCUGUAGAGUUGUUUUUGCUUUGUUUUUAAAAAAGACAGGUGCAUUGACCUUCUUCGGGGAUGACCAUGGGUAUUUUAAAAGAUAAGAAAUUUGCUGAGAAUUCCUUAAAUUUUUCUACUUUUCACUAGCCAGUGAGGACAUUGUCCAUUUUUUGCAGGUAGCUUUGAAAGAUGAUGAUACCGCCACAGUUGAGACCAUGUUAUUAAAACAUCCUUCAUCUAACCAUUUACACAUUUGGUUCUAAAGAAUGUAUUAUCCUUAGAUUCUUGUUUCUAAAUAAUGUAUUAUCUUAAGAUUCUUGUCUUGCUACUAUUCUUAAAAUUGCUCUAAAACUUGCUGAAGUAAUCAGCUUUAAAUUCUGUAAAUACAGAUAAAAUCCUCUUAAUCCUAAAGGUGCUUUUAAAAUUCAUGCAUUUUUACAUGUAUGCAAAUUGGCUAUUAAAUUGGGAAGAUUUUAUUCUAAGUAACCAAAUCUUAAGGAGCCAAAGCAAACCUGCUUUAUAAAAUAUAUUAAUUCAAAGACGAGGGAAUUUCUGAAAACACCAAUUUACUGCGCUUCUGAAUAUUUCCUCAAACUAGAAUGCAAGCGAUGUUGGCAGAGGGAGGAAGUAACUCAUACUAGGAAGAACAAACAGCUGCUGAAAUAUGCUUGUGGUUUAGCAGUUCUUUUAAAAAUCCUGUCAGCUGCAAAAGAAAGGAAGGACUAAUACUUUCCACGAUUUCAGGAACAUCUUUAUUAACAGGCUCCUUUUGAAUGUGGUAUAUAAAGUUAGAAAACACUUAGGCAUGGUAUCUGGCAUAGGGCUCCUAGGGAGCAUUUCAUAAACAGACGGUCUGGGGCGUAUGAUGGUUUGACUGGAAGUUUUUGACUUUAUGAUGCACAUAAAGGCAAUGCACAUUCAGUAGAAACCAUACUUUGAGUCCCCAUACAACUAUCCUGUUUUCAUGUUCAGGACAUUGUUCCCAUAAAUUACAUGAGCUAUUGAACCCUUUAUAAUAAAACAGGAUUUGUAUUAAUUUUGCCUCUGUAGGUUAAUGUAAGUGUUCUGAGUAUGUUUAAGGUAGGCUAGUGUAAGCUCUGAAGCCCAGUAGGUUAGAUAUAUUAAAGGCAUUUUGACUUAGGAUAUUUUCCCCUCCCCCAGUAAACCCAUUGUAAGUCAAGACACACCUGUAUCUGAUAGAGGUCUACCUUUAUCAAUUUAAACUGUGACAAAUGUAAUGUUCCUGUUUUGCUUUUAAAUUGGAGAGCAACAGCAGGUCUGAAAUAAAUACUGCAGUUACCUUUG